UACGUAGGGAGCAAGCGUUUGUCCGGAAUCAUUGGGCGUAAAGAGCUUGUAGGCGGUUUGUCGCGUCUGCUGUGAAAAUCCGGGGCUCAACCCCGGACUUGCAGUGGGUACGGGCAGACUAGAGUGUGGUAGGGGAGACUGGAAUUCCUGGUGUAGCGGUGAAAUGCGCAGAUAUCAGGAGGAACACCGAUGGCGAAGGCAGGUCUCUGGGCCACUACUGACGCUGAGAAGCGAAAGCAUGGGGAGCGAACAGG
rnacentral:rRNA from 1 species